UUGGAGGGCAAGUCUGGUGCCAGCAGCCGCGGUAAUUCCAGCUCCAAUAGCGUAUAUUAAAGUUGUUGCAGUUAAAAAGCUCGUAGUUGAAUUUCGGGAUCAAUAUGCCGGUCAUGCCUUGGUAUGCACUGGUAUCUUUGAUUUCUCCCUUCUGACGAACUUUGAUGUCAUUAAUUUGGUGUCAUAGGGAAUCAGGACUGUUACUUUGAAAAAAUUAGAGUGUUUAAAGCAAGCUCACGCUUGAAUACAUUAGCAUGGAAUAAUGAAAUAGGACGUUUGAUUCUAUUUUGUUGGUUUCUAGGAUCGACGUAAUGAUUAAUAGGGAUAGUUGGGGGCAUUAGUAUUCAAUUGUCAGAGGUGAAAUUCUUGGAUUUAUUGAAGACUAACUACUGCGAAAGCAUUUGCCAAGGAUGUUUUCAUUAAUCAAGAACGAAAGUUAGGGGAUCGAAGACGAUCAGAUACCGUCGUAGUCUUAACCAUAAACUAUGCCGACUAGGGAUCGGAUGAUGUUAAUUUUUUAAUGACUCAUUCGGCGCCUUACGGGAAAC
rnacentral:rRNA from 1 species